UACAGAGGUGGCAAGCGUUGUUCGGAAUUACUGGGCGUAAAGGGCGCGUAGGCGGUUCGUUAAGUCCUGUGUGAAAUCCCCCGGCUCAACUGGGGAACUGCACAGGAAACUAGCGGGCUUGAGUUCGGGAGAGGGAAGCGGAAUUCCGGGUGUAGCGGUGAAAUGCGUAGAUAUCCGGAGGAACACCAGUGGCGAAGGCGGCUCACUGGACCGGUAUUGACGCUGAGGUGCGAAAGCGUGGGGAGCAAACAGG
rnacentral:rRNA from 1 species